GACGAGCCGUGCGAACGUUAUUCGGAAUCACUGGCUUAAAGCGCGUGUAGGCGGGAGGCACGUCCGUCGCUGAAUCCCCGGCUCAACCGGGAACGGCGCGGAUACGACCUUCCUGGAGGGCGUAGGGGACCUGGAACUUCCGGUGGAGCGGUGAAAUGCGUUGAGAUCGGAAGGAACGCCCGUGGCGAAGCGAGGUCCUGGACG
rnacentral:rRNA from 1 species